rnacentral:rRNA from 1 species
UACGGAGGGGCUAGCGUUGUUCGGAAUUACUGGGCGUAAAGCGCACGUAGGCGGCUUUGUAAGUUAGAGGUGAAAGCCCGGGGCUCAACUCCGGAAAUUCGGCCUUUAAGUACUGCAUCGCUAGAAUUGUGGAAGAGGUAAGUGGAAUUCCGAGUGGUAGAGGUGAAAUUCGUAGAUAUUCGGAAGAACACCAGUGGCGAAGGCGACUUACGUGGACACAUAUUGACGCUGAGGUGCGAAAGCGAUGGGGAGCAAACAGGG